GAGCCUCGCCGCUUCUCUCGAGAGGACGUGCGCGCUCGUACGUUCCACCUGCGUCGUCCUAGCAAGCGUGAAUCAUCGCGAGGCACGUCGUUCUUUGCGAGAUACGUGCGUCGUGGACGCGUCACGCGACACCUUCUUUUUCUCUUCGAUCUUCCUCGUCCCAAGAUAUUCGUCGUUUCAUUCACACGUUGCUGUAGAUCGUGAGAGAGGUGUGGCAGACGGUUGGAAAAUUUAUAGAGACUUUGUUGAUUUUAGGUUAGUAAAAAUGUUUAGGUUAGUUUAUUCGUAGAUGGAUUUGAAACGUAUCGAAAUCGUUGACAGAUUGGAUAAGAUUAAUAUUAAUAACAAAAUAGACGAAGAUGAAGUAUAUACAAAGGCUCAUGUCAUGUUUCCAAACUUAAACGCGUCUCAUCAUCCGAAGGGACGAUGUUGAAACCUGAUCGGCGAGUCGAAAGAUCCGCGUCACAGGACCAAUUACGUCACCCCCUGUACAGGCUGGCUCGUGCAUCGUGUGGCCGGCAAGAAGAAGUGGGUAAAUGGAUCUGGAUCAUUGGAGCGAGACACGAGGCGUCCUAGAUGGGGAGGGUUGGAGAGGGAGGAACGUCGUCACGUCCGCGGACGCAGGAUGUUUUAUGGAUUUAUAAUUUGUCGCGUAGUAUCGCCACGAGCUGAGGAGAGAUUCCUUUAUUUUCCAUUGAUUUUUCUUCUUUUUUUUUUUUUUUUUACGGAGCCUCGAUGUGGAAUCGCGCGCGAGGAACAGGAAACGGCGUGCAGGUUCGAGAUUGGAUGAUCGAUGAUGGUUUUCGGCGGAUAUACGGGUAUUUUGUUCCCAGGCGUGAGAGAAUUCUUUCUCCACCUCGAGGAAGAGAGAGAGAGAGAGAUUCUCGAAGAAAUACAAAAUACUUGUCUAAGAGCUUUCUUAAAUUUACGAUUCGCGAAUGAAUCGGCUGGUAACGAGCAAAGAUUACGGCUAAAUAAAUUCAUCGAAAAAAGAGGGAAAACAAAGAAGAAGAGGAGAAAGAGGAAGAAGAAGAAGAAGAAGGAAAGGAACGGCAAGAUCGAUAACCGUUUCGGCAAAUUUCUCGAUCGUAAAACAAGAUUGUUGGCGUUUUAACGGCGGGAUCGAGGGGUUAGAUUUACAUGUGGUUCGAUGGAAGAACCGUUGGCUCGCGGAAGGCGCGAAAGGAAAAGAUUCGAUUUGACGCGGCGUCAGCUGACAGCGUAUUCUUACGCUCGCGCGGAACACUGCAAUUUUCUCGCCAACGUUUAUUUAAUAUGCCCCAUGAACGUCUAUUGAAUAGGCAGACGGUUGUUGCGGUUUUAAAACGUGGACUCCGCCGUUUAAUUGACGCAAAUCAUUGGAAUCAACCGGGAUAAAGCGCGAUCCAUUAUUUUUUCCCUCCCUCCUCCCCUCUCGUUCGAGCAGUUUCGAUCGUGCACGAUCGGACGAUCGAUCGUGUGUAUCGGGCGCGUCGAUCGAUAAUGACGCAUAAUUAACGUAGUCGAGGCGAGUGGAAAUUAAGAGAGUGAUUGUCAACGAAGAGAAAGAGAGAGGGUUUCUUCUUUUCUCUUUCUCGUUUUCUUUUCUAUUCUUUUUCUCUUUCUUUCUUUCUUUCUUUCUUUCUUCGUCCCCUUCUUCUUUUUUCACGAUCGCCACGGAACGUGUUAUUAGAAGUAGUUAUUGAUAAACGUACGAUAAUUGCACGCUUGUGUUCGCGCCACGAUGACGAUGAAACUCUCCCAACGAUGAAAAUCCUUAUGGUCUUUAAACAUUUUUGCGCCGUUUCCACGUCUGAGCUUUAAAGAAUUUUUUCAGGAAGUUGGUACGUGAUGUUGGCGAUAUCGAGUUACGAACGGAUGUGUAAAGAGAAAUAAACAGCGAGAAACUUUUCCAUUGUCGAGAACAAUGAAUAAUGUGUACUUAAAUAUAUAUAGUAUUAUAAGCGUUCAGUAGGUAACAUCAUACCUACAUCGAUGGUUAAAUAAUACAAUCCAAUCGUUUCCCCGCUCCCCGGACGAAAGUCAAUUUUCCUCUCGAGCCGUGCAAAAUCUGAAAUCGCGGUGAGCGGUUCGAACGAAACGUACGAUUUCGCUCGAACAAUUUUCACUCGAGAAACUUGUCCGGUGUCGUCGGCAUAUGGCGCUCGUUAACCGAUCCAACCUCUCUCGAACAUUCGUUCCUCGACAACAAAUCCGACAAACGUAACGCGAGAUCCCCCCUCGAAAUUCGCCGAUAAACACUGGAUCGUAAAAUCGAUCAUCUUGCCUGUUGGGCAAGAAACGUUGUCCCCGAUUUGCAAGGAUCUUCACUCGUAUCUCUUCCUUCGAUCCAAUUGCACGUACACACACUCGCUCGUGCAUUAUCGAUUAAAUGGUAAAUCGAUCCGUGCUCUCUUCUCGGCGAACGAAUCGUCACGUGACGAGGGGGAUAAAACCGAUUUUCCCAUCGGCGAUCGGUUAUCUACGCGGCCGGAGUCCGUGAACCAAGACAAAGAGACCUGAUUAAUCCUCGGCUUGACCCACGUGGCGACCGGAUACGGCGUAACCGGGAUGCAGGAUAACGGUUCCCACCGAUCCACGCCGCGAGGAGGAGAGAGAGAAGCCGCGGCGGACACCGGACGCGCCGCGCGAUCUUUCGAUACUCCGUUUCGUUCGAAAUUUCCUCAUCUCAUCGUGCGAGCAGAAAUUGAGAGGAAGAAAAAGGGGAAGAUUUAAGAUGUUAUAAUCUUUUGGAUCAUUCGUCAAUUCCUGUUUGAAGUUUAGACGGUUAAAUGAUUCGACUUUUGUUGCACCGAAGCGAAGACUAUCUUUCACCUCGAAUUGUUAGAAAUUAGCUUAGAGAUUUUUUCAGAGCAUUUCACGCGGAGCUAAUAACUUUCAUAUAUGUUCCACGAAAAUAAAUAAACAAGUAAAGUAUCGUUAUAAAUUGCAAGCGAUGAAGAGAAGAUGAAAGAUCGGUUACAUCUUUGAAGUAAAAGUCUGGAAGAUCGGAAGUGAUCAGGAAACAUUCCAUUCCGAGUUUUUGGUCCCGAGUUUGCCGCGGAGAGAGCACGAUCCCGAGGAAAGCCCCCCCUCCCUAUUAUCGGUGCACGAGAGCAUGGAGAGUUAGUUGGCCGCGCGAGGAAAGCACGUCCCGAGUCAUUGGUAUUCCACGAGCACCUCUCUGAGUAGCUCUGAUUCUAGACGUAAUUCACGGAAUCCUCGUUUCGGACAGACCAGGAAUCCCUAUAUUCAGCCACGCGGGACGCAUACCCGAUCAGCGAGCAGCCUCUCCUCGGCCUCUCCGUGUCCACGAAAAUUUCGUGGAACGUGCGCCCGAAUUUUCCGAAACCCGCCCUUUCGAUCCUCCACUGUACGAAAGGGAAAUUUAUCGCUCCACGUGCCUUUGACCUGUCCGUGCACCCCUCGCAGAAAUGUGCGCCUCGUGGAAAUCUACGGCUCUUCUUUCUCAGAGAAUAGAGAGAGAAAAGGAGAGGAAUAAUUCGUAGAAAAUAAAUUCUCACUACGCGUUAUUUUGUAUAAUUGGAACGACUAUUAAUCAAGAGAAUAAUUUUGUUUAAAUUUUAUUAUUAUAAAUUGGGGUACCCUGUUUUCGUAUCAACGAAGCGUUUUUGUGUUCGACUCGACUCGCGAAAUUCGAUACUGGAUUCCGUCGAAGCGAUUGGAAAAAGGGGAGGGAGGGAAGCCGGUGGACGAAAUAUUCGAAAGGAUUGGAAAAGAAUCCUCUUUCCGACGUUUCCCAUGGGCGAAGGCGCAUGGAUCUCGCCCCGCUUAAUUAAGAUUCAGAGAAUGAACAGUUUCUCGAUCAGUAGCCACCGCAUAAAUUUAAUUACGAUAAGGCGGCGGUGCACACGAUGUUUAUCUGGCUAAAUAAAUCCCCCGUUAACUGGAUUUAUUAAUCGGACACGCACAUGCUACGCCGCGACCCGUUACCCGUCCUCCCGUUCGUUUUGCGUUGUUGCGCGCCGUUUCAGAGAGGCGAAGCGGCCGCCGCAAAAUACCCGCCAAUAAUUCUCGUUUUUGUCAAUAUUUAUGUUUCCUAUUGCGCGACAUUAAAAUAAUUGCCGGGCUCAUUAUAGGAUCGCAAUCGUGGUUUCCACGGUGAAGUCACGGAACGGCGAUAACCUGGCGACCAGCAACGAUCUUCGUUCCCGCCAUUUCAACGAUUCCGUAUCCUCGAAAACUAUUUUUAUCGCUGCUUUCUUUCAGCGAUCGAAUCGUUUUGCCUCGAAUCACGGAGGUAAAGUGCACAGAGUCGAAUCAAACGAGGAAAGAUAUCUGUAGGAGAGGAGAUUAAAAUUUUUGUAUUUUUAUACCGUGAUUGUGAUCGAAAUUUUUAUUAGAAUCACAGAUAUAAAGUGCACAGAAUCGAAUCAAAAGAUAUCGCUAGGAAAGAAGGUUAAAAUUUUUGUAUUUUUAUACCGUGAUUGUGAUUUAACUUUUUAUUAGAAUCACAGAGGUAAAGUGCAUAGAAUUAAAUGAAGGAAGAUAUGGAAGAGGAGAUUAAAAUUUUUGUAUUUUUAUACCGUGUGAUCGAAAUUUUUAUUAGAAUCACAGAGGUAAAGUGCAAAAAGUUGAAUCAAACGAGGAAGAUCAAAAAUUUUUAUAUUUUUAUACCAUGAUUGUGAUCGAAAUUUAUAUUAAAAUCACAAAGGUAAAGUGCUCGGAAUUGAACAAGGGAAGAUAUGGGAGAGGAGAUUAAAAUUUUUUUAUUUUUAUACCGAACUUUUUACUCGAAUCACAGAGGUAAAGUGCACAGAAUCAAACGAGGA